rnacentral:tRNA from 1 species
GGGCCCGUAGCUCAGAGGUUAGAGCAGUCGGCUCAUAACCGAUUGGCCGUUGGUUCAAUUCCAACCGGGCCCACCA